GACCAGAUACCUCAAUUGGUAGAGCGUCCGUCUAGUGUUCGGAAGGUCCCCGGUUCGAACCCCGGUCUGGCCG
rnacentral:tRNA from 1 species